AAUGCCUUUUUUAUUUUCAGAAAGUAUGUUUAAGAAUGCUUAGUCUUGUGAAUAAGACGGAACUUCAUCCAUUCUAUUUUAAUGAAUGUUAUUCUAACAACAUGAGCUUAAAUGUGUUUAUAUAGUAGGCUGUAUAUAUAUACUGAUAUAUAUACUGAUAAUAUAUAUUUCAAAUUCCAAAUCUAUCUCUACUCUGCGAACACCCCAAUUCAGGCAGGAUGUUUAGUGCCACCACAGCUGGAACCCAUGCAACUUUUCAUUACCUUCGACCAGACCAACAUAGGGAGGGGGGAGGCAUGAAGAAGUAUGGAAGUAAACAUAGUUUACAUGAAAUGGAAAAAUACGAUGUCAAUCAUCAUCAUCACCAUCAUCAUCAUCAUUCAAAGACUGAUUUGCGAGAUAGAGUUCAUCUGGAUUUAGAAGGGAAACCAUGUGAAAAUACUGGUUGCUCUCUGAGUAGAUUGAAGCCCUACUGUCUGAUGGGAGUUUUUAUUUCCAUUAUUAUUGGAUUCAUUGUUCUCAUUGUGUUCGUUAGCAUGGGAGGACUACAAACCUAGU